rnacentral:rRNA from 1 species
UACGGGGGGGGCAAGCGUUGUUCGGAAUUACUGGGCGUAAAGGGCUCGUAGGCGGCCAACUAAGUCAGACGUGAAAUCCCUCGGCUUAACCGGGGAACUGCGUCUGAUACUGGUUGGCUUGAAUCCGGGAGAGGGAUGUGGAAUUCCAGGUGUAGCGGUGAAAUGCGUAGAUAUCAGGAGGAACACCAAUGGCGAAGGCAGCUCGCUGGAACGGUACUGACGCUGAGGCGCGAAAGCGUGGGGAGCAAACAGG